rnacentral:rRNA from 1 species
CACGUAGGGUGCGAGCGUUGUCCGGAAUUAUUGGGCGUAAAGAGCUCGUAGGCGGUGUGUCGCGUCGGCCGUGAAAACCUGCAGCUUAACUGUGGGCUUGCGGUCGAUACGGGCAUCACUGGAGUUCGGCAGGGGAGACUGGAAUUCCUGGUGUAGCGGUGAAAUGCGCAGAUAUCAGGAGGAACACCUGCGGCGAAGGCGGGUUGCUGGGCCGACACUGACGCUGAUGCGCGAAAGCCAGGGGAGCGAACGGG